rnacentral:siRNA from 1 species
AGCGUGUCUGAAACAACGCAGA